UUUAUAAGAGGAGAGAAUCACAAUUAUUAGAACAUUGGGAUGCAAAUUUGAUGGUACAAUGCCAAUAUUGCUUAGCAAGCAAAAAAUUAUACAUGAUAAUCACCACCACAAGAUUAAUAUUGGAGAUUUACUAAUGCAACAAUUCGUACUAGUUAUACAAUUCUUUAUCUAAUUUUAUUAUGCCAGAACAUCCAUGCUAUUGCUAAUAAAUGUAUUCAUUCUUUCUGAGCAUUGGGCUGAAUUUAUUGGGGACGUAACCCGAAGCUGGUUUUUUUUGGAGGGAACCAGUUUAUGUAAUUUCGGCCUGCAAGCUCAAACAAAAUCCUAAUGUUUGGGAUGUGCUGCACCUUUGAGUAAUCUUUGCUUUCCACAUCUUCUAUACUGCCUAUAAGACUUGAAGAACAGUAUGACAAAUCCAAAGUUUGAAGAUUGGUUAAGAAUUCAAUACCUUGAGGCACUGCAUUUAACGCCAAGCAGGAAUCCAUCCACAGUACAUGGAUAUCUGGCAUAACCCCCUUCUCUAUAGUUAUUCCUGUCAAUUGAGGGAAAUUACGCAAAAAUAACAAUUUAAGCUUAGCAAAGCCACUGCA
rnacentral:misc_RNA from 1 species